rnacentral:rRNA from 1 species
GAUGAACGCUGGCGGCGUGCCUAAUACAUGCAAGUCGAGCGAACAGACGAGGAGCUUGCUCCUUCGACGUUAGCGGCGGACGGGUGAAUAACACGUAGGUAACCUACCUAUAAGACUGGGAUAACUUCGGGAAACCGGAGCUAAUACCGGAUAAUAUUUCGAACCGCAUGGUUCGAUAGUGAAAGAUGGCUUUGCUAUCACUUAUAGAUGGACCUGCGCCGUAUUAGCUAGUUGGUAAGGUAACGGCUUACCAAGGCAACGAUACGUAGCCGACCUGAGAGGGUGAUCGGCCACACUGGAACUGAGACACGGUCCAGACUCCUACGGGAGGCAGCAGUAGGGAAUCUUCCGCAAUGGGCGAAAGCCCGACGGAGCAACGCCGCGUGAGUGAUGAAGGUCUUCGGAUCGUAAAACUCUGUUAUUAGGGAAGAACAAACGUGUAAGUAACUGUGCACGUCUUGACGGUACCUAAUCAGAAAGCCACGGCUAACUACGUG